rnacentral:lncRNA from 1 species
AACAGGCUGCGAGAGAGUGGCGAGGACACCUUUACAGCUGAGGAAAGAUCUAGAAAGGUGAAGCCUCCUGAGAUGGAGGGAUUGUAAGAAGCCUGGACUGUCCUACCUGACUCAGGGCUAGAUGCCCUGACUGUGCAGUCUCUUGCACUCUUCAGCACGACCCCGGGGAACAUUCCUAUCCCAUCUGCAGAAGGAGGAGAUGGACUUGUGGCACCUCUCUGGGUCAUCUGGACAGGGUCUGUGCAUAUGAGUACGGGUGCCCAUGGAGGCCAGGAGAUAGCAUCGGAUCCCCUGAAGCUGGAGUUAUAGGUUGUUGUGAACUGCCUGGAGUGGUUGCUGAGAAUAAUACUCUGAAUUUCUACAAGAAGACUCUGCACUCUUAGCUGCUGAGAUAUCUCUUUAGCCUUCCAGAAUCACAUUUCUUAAAAAAAAAACUACAUUACAUAUAUAAAUAUAUGCAUAAAAAUUUUAAAUGAUGU